rnacentral:rRNA from 1 species
CCUACGGGAGGCAGCAGUAGGGAAUCUUCCACAAUGGGCGAAAGCCUGAUGGAGCAACGCCGCGUGGGUGAAGAAGGUCUUCGGAUCGUAAAACCCUGUUGUCAGAGAAGAAAGUGCGUGAGAGUAACUGUUCACGUUUCGACGGUUUCUAACCAGAAAGCCACGGCUAACUACGUGCCAGCAGCCGCGGUAAUACGUAGGUGGCAAGCGUUAUCCGGAUUUAUUGGGUGUAAAGGGAACGCAGGCGGUCUUUUAAGUCGGAUGUGAAAGCCUUCGGCUUAACCGGAUUAGUGCAUUGGAAACUGGAAGGCUUGAGUGCAGGAGAGGAGAGUGGAACUCCAUGUGUAGCGGUGAAAUGCGUAGAUAUAUGGAAGAACACCAGUGGCGAAGGCGGCUCUCUGGUCUGUAACUGACGCUGAGGUUCGAAAGCGUGGGUAGCAAACAGGAUUAGAUACCCAUGUAGUC